UGUAGGCCUUAACUGAGAACUCACUCUUGCACAUUGCUUCCAAGUACAAUUUUAACCAUCUAGAAGUUACUAGAACACUGAGGGCACCCCUUCCUUUUAGAGGUGGACGAGCCGGAGGGGACGCAUUAGCUUAAUACUUCCUCCUCGCGGCCACAUCAAAACCGCCAGGUGUGCAAGUCCUAUUCGAGUUGACGGUUCCCCGAAAUGACUGCAAAAGGAAGGACAUUGUUAUCGCCUGGAGACAAGGGACAUGCAGCCAAAAGAAAAGUCGGAAGAAAAAUAAGCACAGAGGUGUCUCAGGAAGUCAAGCGACAGGAAUGACAGCCGCAAUUCCCGUGUGGUUUGAAUUUUGCCCUACGGGUCAGCUCUUUUUAACAUUUGCGAGUCAUCGGGGUGUCAUUUCUCUUUCUAAGUAAACACUCGUUUCUGUA